GCUCACGCUCUGUCUCUGCCUCUCAAAAAUGAAUAAACUUAAAAAAAAAUUAAAAAUAAACAAACAUUGAAAAAAAGAACUAAAAAAAAGUUAGGGAAAUGCUGGGUUAAAAGGAUGGAUACUUUGCCUGAAGGACUUUUCAGAGCCUUUAAUAUGCUAAUAUGAUUUGGGCGUCUCCAAGGGAGAGGGAGAGGGAUGCAUCUGUUUUUGGACCUCUUUUUACAGGGGAACGCACUUUCCAAGGUGAAAGCAGCUGGAGUAGGUGAUGACAGAAAUAACACACCUAACUUUGGGGGCAUCUUCUCUAAAGCGGACUCUGUUCCCUAGGGGACUUGGCCACCUGUUUCCUAUGUUCAACCGCACACGGUGAUAAUGCGGUAAUACCAGUCUCUUUACAGUGGAGAAAUAGGCAGCUCAGAGAGGGGUGGUCACUUGCCAAAGGCCACAUGCUCAUGAGGGGCAGUGUCAACCUUGGAACCAGGUCUGUCUGAUCCUCUAACCGCUAGACCCCACUGCCGUCAGGCAGGUCCCUCUCACAGGGCCCAUUUGCCCUGUCAUUCUGAUCACACAUCACCUGGUGACAUCCCGUCCUUCAGAUGCCACGACCUCCUUUGACAGAUCUGGAAUCGAGGCCACACAAGUCCCCCCAGAGUCACCUAUGGGACUAGUGGAAGAGUUACUGAAGCCAGUUUCCCGGCCUCCUCCCCUCCAGCCACCACAGUCCUAGUGAGCUGGCCGUGCUGGUGAUUUAAACAGAAAUCCUUCAGUCCACCCGCCCCCCUAGCUGGGCUCCACCUUCCAGGCCCGCGCAGGGGGCGGGUAGGACCACCAGGGCCCUUUAAGGGAGCCUGGGAUGCGCAGGCGCAGUGGGACAGGGUGCACGUGUGGGGGCGGAGUCUCGGCGCAGCUGGAAGCCCUAGCGUAGGUUCGAGGUCGCUGGCUGCUGCCGGGCAAGUUCAGGGGUUGACGUGGUCUCAGGUUCCCCUCUCCAGAAGUGGGGAGGGGCUCUGAAGGCUGGCACAUGGGUCAAGAAAGCACAGAGCUUCCCGGAAAGGCUUCUCUGUGGGACUCCAGGCACCUUCCGGGGCUACAUCCUGGCGCCUCCAGGUGCCGUCCAGCUGAACGCAGGCUCCUGCUGGUCCACUGGACACACUCCUGCAGAAGCCGUCCCCUUGGCGGACCCUGGAGUUCGUGACUGAAAUGGAGGCAUGGUUCCCGGGGCGGGGGCGGCACCGGACCUUCCUUCUGUCCCCAGGCUGCACUCCGCAACAGCUACAUAAUUGAAUCUGCUACCAGAGGUCACUUUCUCCAGUCACCCGGCAUAGGCUACAAGAGCCAACUGCCCAGACUCCUGGACAGAGGGCCACCCACACUCCUGACUCCUCUGUCUGUCUGACCUCAGGUCCCAGAGAGGUAAACGGUUUGCUGGCCAUGUUCCUGGUAUGUGUGGCUGCUGUGCCUCGUGCAGCCUUGUGUCGUCAGGCUGCUCGGCAUCCCAUUUUACAGGAAUGGAGGGAGGGACUCUCAGACUGGGCCAUGUCUUCCCCCGACCAGGCUUCUGACGUUUUAUUGUCACAGGUGGUCAGAGCUGGAUGGCUUCUCAGGUCCACCUGCCCAGACGCCUUGCUUUAUAGAAGGGAGAACACUGGCCCUACGAGGCUGACCAACUUGUCCAAGGUCACACUGCACAUGGCCCAGUUGAGACCUCUCUUCCGUGGUCAGAAAUGCAGCACAGCCCACGGUCUGGUCACAGAGCUCAGGGAGAGCCCUUCCUGUCUCAGUUCUGUCUGAGGGGCCACAGGCACAAGAGGGUCUGCCUUAGGGCCUGACUGCCCCAAAGUCAUGUCCAGGAGGAAAGGGCAGGAGACGACUCCGCCAGUUGUCCAGGCCUUGACCAGCAGCAGGGCACCCAAUUCAAUUUGCUUAUCUCCCUUCCUGCCUCCCUCUUCCCUGUGCUUUUCAAUUACAGGCAGAGUCAGUAUCUUUUCUAGUAAGUACAAAGAUGUCAAAGGGUCUGAGUGAGCCAGAGAAGAAGGAUGUCCUUGGUGGCCCUCCACACUGACCAGUACAAGUCUUGGAGCAGAAGCACAGACUAGUCCGGGUCGUCAUGCCUCGCCCUGCCUCCAGCCAGCUGCACAGGAGCAGUCAUGGUGGAACCAGGGAUGCAUCAGCUGGUUAUAGACCUUCCCUAGACCCACUUGGUUCUGAAGAGCAAAGAAGGUAGGGCUACAUAAGAAAUCCCACAAAUAAGCCAUACUUGCAGGAACCUGUGAGGCAACUGGCCAGAAAUAGCCUCCUCCGGUGUAAUCAAAAUUGAACCACUACAGUACUUAAUCGAAAGGAAAAUGAGAAGGAAAAGCAAAGCCGAAGUAAAAGCUGGCAAAAAAACAAAACAAACCACUACUUCCCAUCAGAAAAAUGUAGCCACAGAAGAGAUGAAGAUUAUAGUUAAAUAUUUCAUCGUGAAGGAGAGAACUUAGUAAACAAUGGUUUCCAUAAAGCAAAACCACAAAGAAGAUAUACAAGAGGAGAAGAAGAAACUUACUGUAAAAGCAAAAGGGGAAAAUGGCGUGCAUAAGGAAAACAAGGCACACACAAAAAAAGUAAAACGAAAGGCAAAAGACAGCCAAUCUGUGCUUAACUAGAGCCCCCAAAGAAGGAAACUGAAAUAAUACAAGCCUUGGAUCUGCCUGUCAAAAGGGCACGGGUACUGUGUUCUGGGAAAAAGAUACUCUGAACAUUCAACCCCAAGACAUAUGCUAGUAAAGUAAUAACAUGAAAGAUAUGGAAAGAUCAAAGUAAAAUACGAAGAAAGAAGAAUCAGGCUUCAACUUCUCCAUGGCAACAUUCAACAUUAGAGGAGAAUAGAAUAUGGUCUGCAAAGACCCUCAAGGAAACAAAGUGACCCGGGGAUUAUUUCUCCUUCACUCAAGCAGAUAGUCGACAGACCUUUCUGAACUUGGGAACUCUCGAAGUGCUGUUCACGUGAGGCCUUAAGCCAUAUACAAGUGGACCAACUUUGGAUGAUGGGAAACUGAGGCACAGGAACUGGUGGUGAGCACUGGCCCUAUUUCUCUCGGAGACAGACUGAAAAUAACUGGGCGUAGUGAUGUAACCACCAUUCCGAGCCCUGGGAUAGAGUAAUGGUACCGCUAAUAACAAAGCGGGGAGGGAAAGGAGGGAUGGCAGUAGAAGCGCAGAUAUCCCCAUAUUUAAUAAUUGGGAAUAGAAGAUAUCCUUUCUUUUUUUAAUGUUUAGUUUUGAGAGAGCAUGAGCAGGGUAGGGGCAGAGAGAGGGAGACCUAGAAUCCAAAGCAGGCUCCAGGAUCUGAGCUGUCAGCACAGAGCCCAA